GACGAACGCUGGCGGCGUGCUUAACACAUGCAAGUCGAGCGGAAAGGCCCUUUCGGGGGUACUCGAGCGGCGAACGGGUGAGUAACACGUGAGUAAUCUGCCCCUGGCUUUGGGAUAGCCACCGGAAACGGUGAUUAAUACCGGAUACGACCACUUCUCGCAUGGGAUGGUGGUGGAAAGUUUUUCGGCCAGGGAUGUGCUCGCGGCCUAUCAGCUUGAUGGUGAGGUAAUUGCUCACCCUGGCUUCGACGGGUAGCCGGCCUGAGAGGGUGAGCGGUCACACUGGGACUGAGACACGGCCCAGACUCCUACGGGAGGCAGCAGUGGGGAAUAUUGGACAAUGGGCGGAAGCCUGAUCCAGCAACGCCGCGUGAGGGAUGACGGCCUUCGGGUUGUAAACCUCUUUCAGCAGGGACGAAGCGCAAGUGACGGUACCUGCAGAAGAAGCACCGGCCAACUACGUGCCAGCCGCCGCAGUAA
rnacentral:rRNA from 1 species